CAACCGAUGCUUCUCGGCUCAGGCCCGCGC
rnacentral:sRNA from 1 species